CUCCCUCCCGCUGCGACCCCUCCUCUCGAUCCACCCCCUCCCGCUGCGACCUCUCUCUUUCCCUCUUUCUCCCACUCCACCGCCGCCGCCCCGCCUCCCGCUUCGCCGCCAAGAGGCUAUCGAGGAGCCGGCAUCGAUAUCCGAGAGGAGUCGCCCUUCGCCGCCGCCGAGAUCCCGUGCAUCUCUACAGAUCCCUCUCGCUCUCCUCUUCGCCCAUCCACCUGGAUCAAAAGUCGAAACCCGCCGCCCCUAUGUCUCUGCUGGUGCUCGACGGAAGACGAGGGCGGCUCCUCCCAGCGAUUCCCCGUGGUCCUCGGCGGAGGCGACGGCUAGGUCAGUCCUCUUUCUCUGGCUCACCCAAUUUGCCUGGGCCGACGAGCUAGGGUUAGGGUUUCCAGCGAGACGCCGCCGCCCCAUCAUGUUGCAGCUGCAGCGAAAAGACAAUGGGGUGAUGCUCACCUUCGCCGAGGAGAAGAUGCUCACCUUCUCGCCCCUCCCCCUACCGUGAUGUACGUGGAUGAAUCCGACGGCAACGAGGAUGACCUCGUAGGAUCCGGCCACGGUUGUGCGGAAUUUCACAGGGACGAAUCUACCCGGCUUCUCGUCCUAUCCGCCGCCGGUAGAGGCAUCCAUGUCCGAUGGUGUGAAUUUUGGCUGGUUCCAUGAGCACUUCGUUCCCUGCCGUGUAAUCUUCGUUGAUUCGGGAAGAUGGUGGUUGUCUGUUUAGCCAUUUCAAUCUGCUAUUGAUCAUGCUCAUUCUUGUUAUAUUCAGUUAUAUUGGAAACACCAUCUGAUUCAGUUAUAUUCUUGAUCAUGCUCAUGCUCAUCCUUAUUCAAAUAAGAAUACUUCUGUUUGGAGAGCUCGGGCGUCAGCUGUGUGGAAGCACCAGCUGAUUUGUAACUGGUCGGAAGGUCCUUGGGGUUGGGUGCGACAACUCGCGACUCGAAGACAUUUCGUGCAUGUGCUCCCCUGCGCUUGGUGACCAAUACAUCUACUCCGUCAUGAACAUGUGCUUCGUGUCAUACAGGUCGCCUCCAAGGGUGAGCUCGUGCAGCGGUACAGGUUAUGUGCAUUAUUGAUCAGCCAAUCUUGAGAGAGAGAUGGGUUGGCGUGAAUGGGAAGAAAACUACAUUGAAUGGACAAGAAGUAUGCCCUCAACUUUUUCAUGGCAUCGGGAUGCCCACUGCCGACGGUGCUGCAUUGCUACCAAAGGGGCACCCUGCCGCGGCUGGGGACUCGCUGCCGUCGAAGCACGACACCUUGCCGUCACGUAUGUUGGGUGUUGUGGUGCUGCAGGUCCUUGGGGUUGGGUGCGGCAACUCGAGACUCGAAGACGAUCUUCUGUGGUAGGGCGUCGCCGGCGGCGGCGGCACCUGUAUAGACCGUCUCGGUGUGACAGAAGAGUUCGGAGUUCACUCCGAGAAAGAAUUGCUUUGCAUGUACAUUUGCUGAAAGACUGAUGUGCUGAACUUUCGAUGAUUUCAAUCGGUGUCUAACAUAACCUUUCCUCUUUUUGUUGAUAUGUCCAAAAGAGAUCCUUAUUUCACCUUUUGUUUAUAGGUAUUCAACUUGAGGAAUUUCAUACUUUUGGAGUGGAGCUAUCAAAUAUAUGUGUGCUCGAUGUUGGUGUUUUAAUCCGGAUCUCUCGCUGAAGGUGCUCGAUGUUGGUGUUUGAAUACUGCUACUGUACUUCAAGCAAAGUUCUCCUAGAGGUGUGAUGUUGGUGGUGAUUUUCUUAUCCGGGGAUAUGGAUGUGGCGGGUUUGUGGGCACCAUGCUGACGCGGAGAAGGAGGUGCAAGUAGCGGGGCGCUUGAGGUGAGGUGGUUGCAGGGUCGCUCGAGAAGAACAGGCUCAUCAGCACCACCUGGAUGCCUUCGUCAUCAGCAAUGUGGACAAGGUAAAGUGGGAUGGCGGGAUUGUAUAGUGCUCAUAAGCCAGUCCGGGCAUUGUCCUUCCUCGAAUGAAUCUGAGACUACUCCUCAUAUGUUAAUCAGUUGCUCCUCCCUAGCUUUGGUUUGGUCUGAACUUCAAAGCUUUCAUCCACUCAAUGUUGAUUCAGUCAAAGAUCUCUUGGAAAAAUUAUUUCGACAAGAUUCACUCUAUAAUGUUGUUAUCAUUGUCCUCUGGAAUAUAUGGAAGCGCAAAAACUCCAAGGUCUCCCGGGAUGUUUUUGAGGAAUUGCACAUUACUGCUAGCAAGAUUGCUGAUGAUUGAUACCAUGGUCCAACAGGUAUUCACAUGAAAUUAAUAAAUGGCACCUUACGGAUUGGAGUACUCUACUGUAUCACCUAUCUAGGAGAUUUUAAUUUUUUUCCUUCUAUUAUUUCUCUUAAUCCCUGUGUACUCAUUGGACUUUGUAUAGUUCUCAGUUUUAUGAAGUGGUUCAGGCUGGCGUAAGCCGCCAUAGUCCCAGUAAAAAAAGGCUACAAGCUUCGCUUCGGCCUUUCGGAACUGAAUAUUAUGUAGUUUUAUUGAGAUUAUUGAUAGUGCUUCUCUACUAUCAAAGAAGGUAAUAGUCUCUUAUGUGUUUCUUUUUGUCCAUUUGAAUGCACUCCAUUUUUUAGUGUAUUAAUUAACAUCAAACCUCCCAUUCUUUCUAGAGUGCUGAUGUAUUAUUAUUUUCAGCUUAACACAUUUAACUUCCUAUAGAUUUCAUGGUUUAUGCAGAUUAACCGAGCUAAGAAUUUUUGUGAAGCUAAAGCUGGUGUUAAGAUGAACGCCGCUAUGUAUAUAUUUGAAACAGUUAGAUACAUGCUUGACAGACUAUAUAGGGGUGAUCAAAACCAUGCAAAGCAUUAUGGGACAAGUUUCUCUACCUUAAAUAAGUGUUCGUUCUCUCGUGUUUACUAUUCGUUUAAGGGUCAUCAAUCCGUGUAUUUAUUUUCAUUGACCAAGUUUUACAUUUUUCUUCAGUAGUGUUCAUUGUGCAAUUCUAGAUUGUUAAGAGAAUAGAGUUUAUUGAUUUAUUACAUGGAGAGACCAGUAGUGUCGUAGUGGUCUUGACAUAAUUGCUAACAUUUUCUACUAGACAAGGUUUAAUUGCACUAAAUACAAAUUAGAACAUGCAUAGACAUUUAUCUUCUUUCUACAGAAUGGUUAGUGUAAACGUACUUUGAGUUGUACAUGAUUCUGUAUCUGACCAUUUUAUCUCAUAUGUUGAUGUGGUUGCAGAUAUGAACUUCAAAUUAUCCUGCAAUGUAUUGACUGGUCGGAGCUAACUUCACUACGCCAGUUUUCUUUUAUGGCUCAAAGUAGUUAGUGUCCCCCCUUAUUAUGAGAGAGGUUCUAUGGCAGUGGAGUAAUGUUCGUAAAUUAUAUAUUGCUUUCAAGUUUGGAGCUGGAAUAAUAUAUGUGCUGCAUUUAGUUAUAGUCUUAUAGAUAUACAUGAACAUCCAUUGUAUAUUUCUUGCAAGACAUGGUAACUACUAUUAUUUUGAUUGUUUCUGUGAA